rnacentral:tRNA from 1 species
GGAGAGGUGGCCGAGCGGCCGAAGGCGCUCCCCUGCUAAGGGAGUAUACGGUGUUGAGCUGUAUCAAGAGUUCAAAUCUCUUCCUCUCCGCCA